rnacentral:miRNA from 1 species
AUUGGCACUCUUUUGAGUGUGG